CUCUUUCUCUCUCUCUCUCUCUCUCUCUCUCUCUUUUCGCACGCGCAUACAUAUACUAACAAUAGGCUAUGCAUUGAAGGUUUUAAAUUUAUACAACCACAUUAUACAGCCACGAGAAAUACAAUGAGACCUACGCAAACUAUCAGCAACUCUAGACGGAUCAAGAUAUAUGACGUCGUAAAUUUUUCAAUUGAGAGUUUAGAUGACCGAGAUUUGGCAAUCAAGAGACACGGAUGAAUAAGUGCAUUACUGUAUCUUUUUGUAUUCGAGUUCCCGAAAUGGAUGUAUCAUCUUUUCAAACCUAGAACUUUCAAGAUAUUGAAUAAAUAAUAUACAAUGAUCGAGUAAAGAAAUUAAAACUCCACAGAAUGAUUAAAUUUUAUAUAUGAUACAACUGUUUCCGCAUUACUAUAAUAUCACCGGAGGAAUAAUAUGUGACAAUAAUACUACAGUGAUGAAGAGACGAAACAAUAAUAAUAAUCCGCUUAAGCAGCAAAACAAAUAUAUAAUGAAGUAUUAAACUGUUGGAUACGAAUUGGCUCCAGACGAAGGCGGAUAAUGACGGAUUGCAAAGUAUCGAUAUAAUAAUUAUGAAUUUUUAUUAAAUCCUAAUAAAAUUUCAAAACAUUAAGAUAAAGAAUCGAAUUAUCGAGCUUAUCUCGAUUCAAUUGAAAAAUAUGCCUCACGAGUUGAGAUUUUAAGGAAUAUCGCGUGAUAUUUUUAUAAUAAAUCUUGAUAUCAUCCAUAAUGACACUACGUCAUUUAAAAAAUUUGAAGAAUCUCUUGCAUUUGUAAGAUCUCUCGAAAUGUCAAGAGAAUAUAUAUAUGCAUAUUUCUUGUGUGAAAUAAAUACGUGAUUCAUAUAUAUUGAAUUCUAUCAAGUAUUCUAUAAAGAUUUUACUCGCGCGAAUAUUAUAAUAUGUUUUGCUUACAUACUGUUGUAUCCCGAAUCUGAAUUAACAGAGAAAGAAAAAAAGAGAAAGAAUGUAUGUAAAUGCUUUUACAAAUAGUAUAUACAAUUUAAAAAAAAAUCGUAUUUAUACAAGAGCGAAUUGUAAGAUUCAAAUGUUUGAAAACAAACGAUAUAUGAUGUUAUACAAACUUGAUAAUAUCUUUAUCGGUUGAAAAAAUAUCAUUUUCAACUCUGUAAAGCUUUUCCGAAGAAAGAGAGAGAAGAGUCUUGUAUAAGCGCAAAAGAUACACGCGUCCAAGGGGUAUAUCUCACUAUCGUAAUGCACAUUUUUUCUGGAAUUAUUUACGCAGUUACUUCGCAUUACGUUGUAUUAUUUCGCAUUACGUAUUAUUUCGCAUUAUGUAUUAUUUCACAUUAUGUGUUAAGAUUAAAGCGUCUUAAAAAAUAAAAAUGAUGUUAUGACGUU